AGAUCAGAAAAAUCAUAAGACAGCAUUAAAAAGUACUAUACAGGAGGAGAUGGAACAAGAUGGCCAAACAGAAGCCUCCGGCAAUCAUCUCCCCCAAAGGAAUCGAACAACCAUCAAAACAAAAUUGAACAACUAUCUAAACAAAAAAAGUACCUUCAUAAAAAAACAAAAAUCAGGCAUACGAUGGUGGACAAAACAGCUGCCUUUCUUCCCUGUAUGGAGCUUACAGUAUAGUGAAUAUUUCACGGGACUGGUAUCUACAGAAGGUGUUUUGGGAAGCACAGCUUUGGAGAGAGUAAUUUGCCAACAUUGCACAGAAUAAAGGCACCAUGAGGGCCCAAGGAAGGAAAAGAUUUGCAGCUGUCUCAAACACCACCACAUGUGCAGCAUCCCUCUGGGUCUCUUCCAUGUCAACCCUGUGGGAACCCAGGCAAGUGAGAAUCAAUGUAAACAUGAAGUUCAUGCUGCUUACUGUGUCACGAUAAUGUCCCUUGUCUCCCAAUCAGGAGCGUCAUGUCUUCUUGCCAGCCU